GACGAACGCUGGCGGCGUGCCUAAUACAUGCCAGUAGAACGCUGAAGCGAGGAGCUUGCUCUUCUUGGAUGAGUUGCGAACGGGUGAGUAACGCGUAGGUAACCUGCCUGGUAGCGGGGGAUAACUAUUGGAAACGAUAGCUAAUACCGCAUAAAAUGGAUUAUCGCAUGAUAAUCCAUUGAAAGGUGCAAAUGCAUCACUACCAGAUGGACCUGCGUUGUAUUAGCUAGUUGGUGGGGUAACGGCUCACCAAGGCGACGAUACAUAGCCGACCUGAGAGGGUGAUCGGCCACACUGGGACUGAGACACGGCCCAGACUCCUACGGGAGGCAGCAGUAGGGAAUCUUCGGCAAUGGACGGAAGUCUGACCGAGCAACGCCGCGUGAGUGAAGAAGGUUUUCGGAUCGUAAAGCUCUGUUGUAAGAGAAGAACGAGUGUGAGAGUGGAAAGUUCACACUGUGACGGUAUCUUACCAGAAAGGGACGGCUAACUACGUGC
rnacentral:rRNA from 1 species